rnacentral:rRNA from 1 species
UGGGGAAUAUUGCACAAUGGGCGCAAGCCUGAUGCAGCCAUGCCGCGUGUAUGAAGAAGGCCUUCGGGUUGUAAAGUACUUUCAGCGAGGAGGAAGGCGUUGUGGUUAAUAACCGCAACGAUUGACGUUACUCGCAGAAGAAGCACCGGCUAACUCCGUGUCAGCAGCCGCGGUAAUACGGAGGGUGCAAGCGUUAAUCGGAAUUACUGGGCGUAAAGCGCACGCAGGCGGUCUGUCAAGUCGGAUGUGAAAUCCCCGGGCUCAACCUGGGAACUGCAUCCGAAACUGGCAGGCUAGAGUCUUGUAGAGGGGGGUAGAAUUCCAGGUGUAGCGGUGAAAUGCGUAGAGAUCUGGAGGAAUACCGGUGGCGAAGGCGGCCCCCUGGACAAAGACUGACGCUCAGGUGCGAAAGCGUGGGGAGCAAACA